rnacentral:rRNA from 1 species
GGAUGAACGCUAGCGGCGCGCCUAAUGCAUGCAAGUCGAACGGUCUUUUUCUUAUGGAAGCUUGCUUCCACUGAGAAGAUAGUGGCGAACGGGGUGAGUAACACGUGGGUAACCUGCCCAUAAGAGGGGGAUAACAUCCGGAAACGGGUGCUAAUACCGCAUUAGUUUUUCUUGAUCGCAUGAUUGAGAAAGGAAAGACGGCCUUUGUGCUGUCGCUUAUGGAUGGGACCCCGCGGCGUAUUAGUUAGUUGGUGAGGUAACGGCUCACCAAGACGAUGAUACGU